CUUUUCCUUUCAUCAAAGAUGCUGUACGUGACAAACCAGAACAUUAUAAUCAUGUUUGAUCUGGAUUCGGUUGCACAACUAACAGACAGGAAGGGAGGGAGAGUCACAUUGCACCGUUGACCUUUGUCAAUUAUUUUGUUUCUGUCCACCUUUUGCUCUCACUCCAUUUCAGUUCUCUAAUGCAUUUUGUUUCCUGGGACAAAUUGUCCAAGUAGGUGUUUCGGCCAAACCAAGCCCAGCAACUCCUAACUUGUAAUAGCGUGUUCCAGCCAAGUCCCAUUCCACGUCCCAGGAAUAUCCUCAACAAACUGACUCAGAGUGGGAGGACUGAGAGUGCAGUGGACUGAAUGUGCAGAUAUUAAACAGAAAGAAGUGACUUCCCCUAUUGCCACAGAGAGCCUGACAGGCUGGACAGUCACUCACCCAAUAAGUGUGAGGAUGACAGACACAGUGGUCUGGUUCCAGAGAAGGCACAGAGAUCGGCCUGGUUUAACUUGGUGACCAGACCUGGAGACUGAGCCUUGUGGUCAGAGGGGUGGCGAUGGGCAGUCUAUGGCCAACAGCGAAGUACACGACGCCUUGUGGAUCGUCGCUCUCUGCCAAGGUGAUGUUGGCAAAACGGGUGGUCUCAUUAAUGGUAGCCCCGGCACCCACCUGAUAAAUCUCCACCAAGAACCAUGCCUGGUCCUCUGGUUCCUACGAAUUUGAAAGAUUUCAAGGUCAGCAAGAUACCAACAUGCCGUAGCACUGCUUUCACCAGUUUUUUCAUCUCCGCCUCUCUCUCACCUCAUCAUCCUGGACCUCCACAGUAAGAGCACAGAUUAUCUCUCCUCUCCUACAAAGUGCAGUUCCUGAGGUCCGCACCAGCUGUCUGGUUAGGUCGACUCCAUUGUUAACAAGAGUUAGACUUGCCUUGCUGAAGAUAGAGGGACGCAGUUCUGUUCUCUGAGUCCUCGUCCAGAACUUGGCCCAUCAGAGAAUUAAGACUAAACCCUACAAUCCCGUUAUGGAAGUCGCUCCCUGGUAUGGCCAGAGGGAAGGAUAAACCAGAAACAGA